GAUGAACGCUGGCGGCGUGCCUAAUACAUGCAAGUCGAGCGAACAGAUGAGGAGCUUGCUCCUCUGACGUUAGCGGCGGACGGGUGAGUAACACGUGGAUAACCUACCUAUAAGACUGGGAUAACUUCGGGAAACCGGAGCUAAUACCGGAUAAUAUAUUGAACCGCAUGGUUCAAUAGUGAAAGACGGUUUUGCUGUCACUUAUAGAUGGAUCCGCGCCGCAUUAGCUAGUUGGUAAGGUAACGGCUUACCAAGGCAACGAUGCGUAGCCGACCUGAGAGGGUGAUCGGCCACACUGGAACUGAGACACGGUCCAGACUCCUACGGGAGGCAGCAGUAGGGAAUCUUCCGAAAUGGGCGAAAGCCUGACGGAGCAACGCCGCGUGAGUGAUGAAGGUCUUCGGAUCGUAAAACUCUGUUAUUAGGGAAGAACAAAUGUGUAAGUAACUAUGCACGUCUGGACGGUACCUAAGCAGAAAGCCACGGCUAACUACGU
rnacentral:rRNA from 1 species